AUUUGACGUGUUGAGACUAAGAUAAAAAUCAAAAUAAUUUCUCGCGGUUCCGCAAACGCAUAUCGUGCUCAGCGAAAUUCGGCGGAUCUCGCUGAAGCAUGGACCAUCUUCACAGGACCUGGAAAAGUUAGGACAUCCCAAUUAUCGUUACCGAUACCCUGAUAGAGAUACUGACAAAAUUAAUCAAAAAUUAGGGGAAAAUGCGUGGAGAUCAGGCAAUAACAUUUCUUAUAUUUUUAACAACCGGAAUAUCAAUGUCAAACGAAGAGGAUUUUAUAUGUGAAGGGAAACGCGGGUGGUACGGGAUUCCACUCACAUGUCAUCAUGGCACUAGUAAUGAAAAGUCAACGCAGAACCGACUGAGAAUAUUAACCAAAAAACUGAAAGUUGCUGAGGAUGAUAUUGCAAAAAUUGAAAAAGAAAACCUGGAACUUAAGAACAAACUUGCAACUCUUGAAUCAUUUGUGAUGCCUUUGAAGGACGAAAGCGCACCAAAUCGGACAGACAAGUGUGAUGUGGUAACAGAGAAUUUCUGCUUUCUAACAUUGGUCGAAAAGAAAUGGAAAAUGUCAUUUGAGGAUGCAGUUACAGCUUGUAAUAAGCUUGGGUGCACGGUAGCAAAUAUCACGAAUGAAGCUAUAUACACGCGUAUCACGAGUAAUUUAAGACGGAAAAUUCCCAAUGGAUGAUCUUUGGUAUAUAUUUGGAUUGGAAAUCAAAUAAAUGCUAAGACUGGUUAUUUGCCAAUUCCAUUCACACAAUGGCUCCAGGGAUCGCCAAAGUUGAAAGAAAAGCAUUUGAACUGGAAUAACAUUUAUCUAAUAGUCGAUCGUAAUCCUGUCGUCGCCUUCCAGGGAAUGGCAAAUAUUGCUCCGAAAACGUUUUGAAAUGGAGUCGUUUGCCAAAGAAAUAUAUAACACUAUUCCAAAUUACUAUCUCAAUCAGUACUCAAAUUGAUCUGCGUGCAAAGAAUUAUUGUGAACUGAAUUAAAAUGAUGAUAAAAUUGCAGUUUCUCUAUUCGUAUUCAUCUACAACACCGACAUGAACUGCUCUUCCGCUCCAACAUAAAACUCUGUAAUACAUACAUAACGAACACCAAACAAUUUAUUUGCUCAAAUAAUUUCAUUAAGGUUGGUUUAUCAAAAUUUUUUCAGUUCUACCAACUAAUUUAACUCCACUCUUAUCGCCAACAAGUUAGGGUUAUGUAUUCAAAAAUUAUCUGCUUCAAAACCCGACCGCAAUGCAAUUGGUGAUUUUGCAUUAUUCUCCCAUUUUGAAAUAGGAUGUGCAUUCUAUUUUUUAAAAGAAUCGUGACAACCGUGUUUUUUAUUCAAUGCUCACAUAUUGUUCAGUUAUUUUUUGAAAAAUCGUGAGUUCAUUUAACGAAUGUUACUAAAAUCUUGUUGCAAUCAUCAUGUUUCCCGUUCAUAUCAGCAGCCUCCGCAUGGAAUAGGGUAUUUGAUCAAGCGUCAAUUAGAAAGAAUUACAUAGCAGUUUAGUUUGAUUUUCAGGCGAUAUUUAUAACGGAAAAACGUUUCAAACCAAAAUUCUCGUUAACUGAAGAAUGCGGUAAUUAAUUUCAAGAUAGCUACUUACAAGGUUUAAAAAAUUUGGAUAUUUAUAUUUUUCUCUUAAUCCUCUUUUGAAAAGAAUACAAAUGAUAGCUCCGAGCAUGAUAAAUUUAUUUUGGUAGAGUUAUGUACAAAAAAGCACUAACAAACAGCACAACGUCGACAGAACGCGAGGCGCUUAAGGCGUUUUGAGGGAUUUCACCGGUCACUGACAUAUAUUGCCAUCCUUCUUUAAAGUAACAUCUAUCGUUUUAAAAGGAAAAUUUUUUGUGCAUCACAAUAUUUAUUGAGUACAUCUACGUGUCGUAAGACAUGUAUGAAAAUAGUCAUUUGCAUCAUAUCGUCACGCUAAUAACCGAAUUGCGUAAGUCCUUUUUAGCAGUUUUGAACAGCAAUGCACCCAAUAUAAAAGCCAACCAAGGUGAA